rnacentral:lncRNA from 1 species
UAUAGAAUGCUCAACUAUUACAGGUAAACACUCAGUUACCAUAAGAGAUUGAUUGUGGUUUUGAUGAAAUAUGUGGACUGAGUUGAGUAGGUGCAGAGUAUUGCAGUGGAGUGUGGGGUAUAUAUGUAGAUUUUUUUAAGUGUUGAAUGUUGCCAUUGAUUGCUUGCUUGGAUUUUAGCCCAAACACCAAAAGGCUAGCUAGGCUCCAGUUGAACUGUUU